rnacentral:tRNA from 1 species
GCGGGUGUAGCUCAGUUGGCAGAGCGUCUGCUUCCCAAGCAGGAUGUCGUGGGUUCGAGUCCCAUCACCCGCUCCU